CGAAAAGUCUGAGCUGAUGUCCCAGGUGAACUCACUAUGAUGUUUAGUGCAGCAGCUGGAGGAAGAGCUUUCUGAGCCACGCAGGAAUUGUGAAGAGAUAACAGAGGAGAGAGAUAGAGAGCUUGAGGCUCCUAAUACUCUGGAGAUGCAGAACGAGAUGAAUGGACUCUAAUCUAUGAUGAGUUACUAAAAACUAUUGAAUAGGACCAUCCUGUGAUCUUAUUAACACCGGAGAAACCUCCAGGGUCAGUGUUUAACACCUGGGUAUGCAAAGUCAUAUGAUGACAGUGUUCUGGUUCUUACUAGAACCCAACACAUAU